rnacentral:rRNA from 1 species
GACGAACGCUGGCGGCGUGCCUAAUACAUGCAAGUAGAACGCUGAAGGAGGAGCUUGCUUCUCUGGAUGAGUUGCGAACGGGUGAGUAACGCGUAGGUAACCUGCCUGGUAGCGGGGGAUAACUAUUGGAAACGAUAGCUAAUACCGCAUAAGAGUAGAUGUUGCAUGACAUUUGCUUAAAAGGUGCAAUUGCAUCACUACCAGAUGGACCUGCGUUGUAUUAGCUAGUUGGUGGGGUAACGGCUCACCAAGGCGACGAUACAUAGCCGACCUGAGAGGGUGAUCGGCCACACUGGGACUGAGACACGGCCCAGACUCCUACGGGAGGCAGCAGGAGGGAAUCUUCGGCAAUGGACGGAAGUCUGACCGAGCAACGCCGCGGGAGGGAAGAAGGGUCUCGGAUCGGAAAGCUCUGUUGUAAGAGAAGAAAGAGUGUGAGAGUGGAAAGUUCACAGUGUGACGGUAUCUGAACAGAAAGCGACGGCUAACUACGUG